UAGGUGAAUAUAGUUUAUAAAAAAUGUUAGUUCGUGAUCCUAACGAAAAGAGACAAACUUCUCUUU
rnacentral:tRNA from 1 species